rnacentral:rRNA from 1 species
CCCUUAGAUGUUCUGGGCCGCACGCGCGCUACACUGACGAUGGCAACGAGUUUUUCCUUCGUCGAAAGGUGUGGGUAAUCUUUUGAAACAUCGUCGUGCUGGGGAUAGAUCAUUGCAAUUUUUGAUCUUGAACGAGGAAUUCCUAGUAAGCGCGAGUCAUCAGCUCUCGUUGAUUACGUCCCUGCCCUUUGUACACACCGCCCGUCGCUACUACCGAUUGAAUGGUUUAGUGAGGACUCCUGAUUGGCGCCGCCGCCCCGGCAACGGAGCAGCGGACUGCCGAAAAGUUGUUCAAACUUGAUCAUUUAGAGGAAGUAAAAGUCGUAACA